GUUGGUGUCAAGUAUGAGAGCAGUGUAUCAUGGUCCUGGACAGUUAGACAGCAGCAAGGGUUAACUAUGAUGGAACAAAGAACUUUAAUCAAGCAAAUGUGUCAACAAAGCUACAGUGGUGUGCCUCACAACUACAGCAAAAGUUAGGAAACGUGAGACUGCCUUCCCUAGGAAGUAAACUUCUUAGCAUACCGAUCAGAAGAGUUUCCUCUUUGUCUUCAAUAGAUCAAUACCACUAAAGCUUCCAAAGCAUCUAUGCAACAGAGGGCUCCAUUUCAGAAUUCACCCAUGGGUUGGCUUCAAACACACCGGUCAAUACCUGCAGCUCAUCAAUUUCACAGGUCCUCUGACCAUACCUUACAUGGAUCUAAUAUCAAGAGCUCUGUCGGUUUACCUACAGAAGGGCUUCACCUGCGGCUGCACUCAGAACAUCUCGCAGAGCCGUCUGGGUGCCAUCCUUGAAUCCGGAAGACAGAAAAAGGCAUCAGGGAGACAUCAGAGGAAGUCCUCUUUCAUCAGAAGUGUGGGCUUAAUUGAACUCUGCGAAAUCUCCUGGAGGAGCCUCGAAAUGAGACUCACACUCUAUUAACCCUCUCCUCUCCUUGGAGUAAGCCUUUCUAUUGGACUCAAAGUUCUGUGAGAAUCUUAGAGAAUUUACAACACACAACGUUAUCUUUUGAACUUGGCGGAUUUGCUUGGAUCUUUUCAGCACAAGUCUGAAAGAACAAGAAAUACAUAUGGGUCUUCUCCAAGCAUGGGGGAGCUGUUUACUAUACUUUGAACACCUGGCCUCUACUAGAACAUUGUCUGAUUUUAAACUUGUUAUCAUGCCACAGAGAAUUCUAACACAGCUACCAGGCAUGUAAAAAGAAGAGGAAAGUAAAAAAGGAAAAGAAAGAAAAGAAAAGGAAAGAAAAGGAAAGAAAAGAAAAGGAAAGAAAAGAAGAGAAAAAUCCUGAAAAACAAUAGUGGGAGAAAUACAGUAACAGGGAUGAGAAGGAAGAGGGAAAGAGCCACUGAAGGCAAAAGAAGGUGAAGAAAGGUUAAAAUAUGUGUUUUACCUAGAUGUGAAAUCUCAGCCUAAGUAGCCAUCAUAUCCCAUAUCCCAGUUAAAGGUGCAGUUAUGAGACACACCCCAGACUGGAUGGUGACCUGUGAGUUUGCAUAUGCUGAAAAGAAUAGGAAAUCAGCCAAAUCCCUCUACCUAUGGACCAAGGCUCGUCUGGAGACCAGUGAAGAGUCAUGACCUGAAGACUAGGCUCAAGUCCCUUUCUCCUUGUUUCAAAUGACUUCUGUUUUCAACUAACUAAACUUGGAUAUUAUCUUAAAAUCUUAUAUACUCCUAGGACAUUUUGCUCUAUCUGAAAUAAAGUAUGCAAGCUGCAAUCAUUCUAUGGAUACAUUUAUCCGGAGAAGAACCAUGUACUUUACUUAUGAAAUUCCAGUGGAACUUGCUUUCAGCCUCUACUUACAGCCUUUAAAAUGCAACAUAAGAUUACAAAACCACUGGAACUUAAUGAUUUAAAUUUUAGUGGAGCCAAGAUUUCAUAUGAUAGAAAUGAUUAAAAAGAUUAGUCUAUUGAUAUACAAUGGGGAGUCAGUGAAGGAUAGUGCCCUGGAGAAUGAGCCCAGCCAGGGAACAGGAUGAUUAAUCUGGGCAAUGUCUGCCGACUGGAUUAGAAUGUGCAGAGAUUGGAGGACAUUUGAACAGAAAGAUUAUCGAAACCACAAAGACAAUUUUUUUUUUUCCGGCAACAAGAAGUCGAAUUCUUUAGAACCUUCGAAAACAGAGGUAAUAUCUCCCUUUGGAGAAAACUUAAAUUAGCAAUGCUAAUCAUCUCCCACCCUAACAUACACACCACCAAGAUGCAGAGGAGUAAGAGAAUGGUGCUGCAGGGUCUGAAUGUGCAGGAAGCUGAAUUUAGUGUGCUAUGACAGGAAUCCAUGGGACAUAGCGCAAUGCUCAUGAUAUCUCCAUCUAUGUAAUUGCCAAGAGGCAAGAAGGCCUGGAACCUUGGGCAGAACUCAAUGGAACCUGGGACCAUAGUGCAGCAUCCUGAUGGGAUCCAUAGACCUUAAGCAUCUCAGGCUAUGGAGAAUGUAGCAGGCGAUGGUAAGCUCAGCACUCUACUCCAGCCACAUCAAGAUGCUUCAGAGCUAUGCUCAGCAAACCUGUACGGAAUCGGGUGGGAUAUCCUGCAAGAGUAACAGGAGGGUAAUAACUGUGUCGUUACUCUUCACCACAGCCUCCUGAAUGAAGCUCUCUGAAGAUGGACUGUGCUUUUUGUUCACUGAGUUUUCAAAAUGAGUAACUUUGGCAUGCACUGAAUAUAUGACUCAUUUUCUACUUCCUUUCAGUAUAUUUUCACUUCUAUUUGAAACAGCUUCUCACUAAUAUGCCAGGCUGACACUGAACUUGCUCUGUAACCCAGACAGCCUUUGAACUUGUGAUCUUCUUGCCUCAAACUCCUGAAUAGCUACAAUUACAGACAGGAACAUAAUGAUCUUAAUUCUUAAAUCAUGUCUAGUGGAUUGGGUUAAGUAAUUAAUUAAGGGAAAAUAUAAAAAUGAAUAAAAUGUGAAGGCAAUAGUAUAAGAUGUGAUUAUACCAAUUAAUCAAUGCUUUUAAAGCAAACACAAUAACUAUAAAUGGAACUUAAAUUAGCAGUUAAAAUACAGAGAAUUUCAAAAUGAGCCAACACAAAUUAUUAACUCUAUGCAUUAAUGAAUUAUUGAGCUAAUUAGGAAUGUGGAACAACUUUAGGAAAUACGUGAAGAUUUAAUAUAUAAUGCUAGUCAAAAUAAAGUACAACUGUAUUACAACAACAAAUAUUAUGGUUAAAAUGUUCUUGCAAAUAUCAUUACACUUUAAUUAUUUUUAAAUGUACCAAUUCAUAAAAUGGUUUAAAAUAGAACUUGUACAAAUCCAGCAAUAAUUUGAAAAUACAAACAAAAAUAAAAUUUGACAGAUCCACAUUCAUACUCAGAUAUAUAAAUACAUUUCUACUAUGAAUUUAUUUCUUAAUCAGAGAAGUAAAAAAAGAAAACAAACAAAGAAACAAAUUAGGACAAGAAAAAUUUGAGUUUCCUAUUUAUCUAGCUAAUUCAAUGGAAAUUCUACUAAGAAAAAAAUAGACAUAUGGGCAUCAUUACAUUAAAGGUAUUCUAUAAUUUUCUGUAAUUCUAUGAAAUCAAGACCAGCUUUCUGAAAGAUUUGAAAGUUUUAGUACACAUUGUAAAGUAUAUCAUGGUAAUGUGAAAAAUCAAAACAAAAUUGUAGCACACUCAGAAAUAAAGAAUGCUGCUGAAGUCAUAUAGAAACAAAAGGCUGAAACCUGAGGAGAAAGACAAUCUAAGCUGUUCUCUAACACCAGAAGUUGGUGAACACAUACUAGAAUGAGUUCAAAGCAAAUCAAAAGACAAUUAUAAAAAACUAAUUAAAGUAUAAAAGGUAAGGGAAUGCUAGAUAAAGAAUAAUCAGCUAAAGAAAAAGUUUCUACUCCAUCCUGCAUUUCUUGUCAACAGGAUAAAUUUUGGGUCAAAAGUUUUUUGGGUGGGCUGGUGUCUCUCUCAUUCUUCUGGAGUUCCUAACUGGAGGUGAUAUCUUCUGGUUUCAUAUCUCCAAUGCUAUGAGUCACCUCCAUUGAUUCUUGGGCACCUCCCUUAAAUUUAUCCUGUCAAUAAGAAAUACAGGGAAAGGGAAUGGAGCAGAGACUGAGGGAAUGGUCAACUAAUAACCUGGCCAACUUGAUAUUCAUCCCAUGGGCAAGAACCAAUCCCUGACACUAUUAAUGAUUCUCUGUUAUGCUUGCAGACAGGAGCCUAGCAUACUGUUCUAUGAGAGGCUCCACCCAGCAGCUGCCUCAGAUGUAUGUAGAAACUCACAAUCAAACAUUGGAUGGAGCUUGGGGACUCUUAUGGAAGGACAGGCAGAAGCAUUGAGGCACUAGGAACUCCACAGGAUGACCAAAAGAAUCAAUUAACCUGGACUCUUGGGGCUCUCAGAGACUGACCCACCAAACAAAGUCUGUGUCUUUAAUACAAUGCCUUGCCUAACUGGACUACGACUCAAGCUUCAGUCCACUCUCGUCUCCUUUUACCCUCAAUAAGCACGCUCAAGUCUCAGUUUCUUUAUCCUAAAGUUUGCCACAACAAAAUUGUAUCUGAAAUUAUGAAAUACAUUAUAUGGGAUCAAGCACUCGAAGAUAAAGUCUUAUUCAGUAGAUGAAAGAACGCCUAGAGGUGAAAACUGAUAUCCAGGUAGUGCCCUGACAACAGACCAAGGAAACAGUGCCACCCAAGUCUAGUGUGAUGAGCCAACGAGGCUGUUGAGGCUACUCCCAAGAACAUGGCUGACCCAGAGGCAGCUAAACCACUGAAGAGCCCACCCCAACAUGGGUGAUGGCACAAGGGAGCUGCAUCUCGGAUCCCCACACAGCUUCAUAGAAUUCUACAAAAGUGUCUUUUCUCUCCUGGCAACUAUAUACUAUUUACAUAACUUAAAGGACAGACUUCCUGAAUCCUGUAACUUUUUUGAGCUUCCCAAGUCUCGCAAAUGCUCUUAGAUUCCAUGGUGCUAGGAGCAAGUACUUAUUCAAGGGAAGCAGCUACAAAGGAGCAUAUAGGCACAGGCUCCCAUUAACUCCAUGGAAUGGCGAUAGGAAUAACUAAAUGAUGACUGCAAGCUAUUCUGUAAUUACAAACUGCUAAAUAAUAAAGGUUGGCUAAUUAUCA
rnacentral:lncRNA from 1 species